GUCCCUGUAGCGCAAUGGAUAGCGCUUUGAACUUCGCUUCCAAAGGUCUUGGGUUCAAACACUAUCUGGGAUG